GAACUUCACCCGCGGUAGAGUACGGCCUGAGAAUUUUGUUCCAGCACCGGUGUGAGGAAAACAUCUGAGCCCAUGAAUUGCCAGACCCUGGAUACCUGAGACACAUCCACUUGCUUCUCAGGUUUGGAGUGCAUAAUGAGGAGAAAUAAACACAGAAAGAUCUCCAGAAAGAAGCCAUGGGUGGAGAACAGAGGGCGUCUAGAUUAAAUGGAAAGAAUGCCCAGGCAUCCCAUUGCCUCCCUUUGAUGUUCCAGAACUUCGUCAAGACAGUGAUGAGCUACAUGUACACCUGGAGGAGGACCAUGCAGAAUACCAUCCAGCGCCAUGAACACUAGUCAGUCAGUCAGUAAUGGUGAACUUCUCGUUGUGCUCCAGCUCAAUUUUCUCAUGUUUGAUGGUAGUUCAGGAUCAAGCUCAGAAGCGCACAGCUGCCAGCAAGCAGUCUACUACUGAACUGCACCAUCUCUCCAGCCCGUGCUUACUCUUGAAUAGCCCCAAAGUAGUCAAUGGUAUGGCAAAAUAAACCUCCAUUUCAUUUAGAUUUUUAUAGUAUUUUUUGCCACUUAAAUUAUUUUAUGUAGUUGAGUAUGAUUUUUUCCCCCUAAGGAAUUCUAUGUAUCUCAAUUUUAAGAGUCUUCAGCCUUUAUGUUAUACAUAAUUUCCUAUAGAUUUCAAAGUUGCUUUAAUAAAAAGUUUAAUGUUAAAA
ensembl:processed_transcript 5530601H04Rik RIKEN cDNA 5530601H04 gene